GACGAACGCUGGCGGCGUGCCUAAUACAUGCAAGUCGAGCGAAGUUUUUCUGGUGCUUGCACUAGAAAAACUAAGCGGCGAACGGGUGAGUAACACGUAAAGAACCUGCCUCAUAGACUGGGACAACUAUUGGAAACGAUAGCUAAUACCGGAUAACAGUAUUUCUCGCAUGAGAGAUAUUUAAAAGUUGGUUAUGCUAACACUAUGAGAUGGCUUUGCGGUGCAUUAGCUAGUUGGUGGGGUAAAGGCCCACCAAGGCGACGAUGCAUAGCCGACCUGAGAGGGUGAUCGGCCACACUGGGACUGAGACACGGCCCAGACUCCUACGGGAGGCAGCAGUAGGGAAUCUUCCGCAAUGGGCGAAAGCCUGACGGAGCAACGCCGCGUGAGUGAAGAAGGAUUUCGGUUCGUAAAGCUCUGUUGUUAGGGAAGAAUGGAUAUGUAGUAACUAUACAUGUAAGAGACGGUACCUAACCAGAAAGCCACGGCUAACUACGUG
rnacentral:rRNA from 1 species